GAGUUUGAUCCUGGCUCAGGAUGAACGCUGGCGGCGUGCCUAAUACAUGCAAGUCGAGCGAACAGACGAGGAGCUUGCUCCUCUGACGUUAGCGGCGGACGGGUGAGUAACACGUGGAUAACCUACCUAUAAGACUGGGAUAACUUCGGGAAACCGGAGCUAAUACCGAAUAAUAUAUUGAACCGCAUGGUUCAAUAGUGAAAAACGGUUUUGCUGUCACUUAUAGAUGGAUCCGCGCCGCAUUAGCUAGUUGGUAGGGUAACGGCUUACCAAGGCGACGAUGCGUAGCCGACCUGAGAGGGUGAUCGGCCACACUGGAACUGAGACACGGUCCAGACUCCUACGGGAGGCAGCAGUAGGGAAUCUUCCGCAAUGGGCGAAAGCCUGACGGAGCAACGCCGCGUGAGUGAUGAAGAUCUUCGGAUCGUAAAACUCUGUUAUUAGGGAAGAACAAAUGUGUAAGUAACUAUGCACGUCUUGACGGUACCUAAUCAGAAAGCCACGGCUAACUACGUGCCAGC
rnacentral:rRNA from 1 species